rnacentral:rRNA from 1 species
GUUGACCUCGAAUCAGGUAGGACUACCCGCUGAACUUAAGCAUAUCAAUAAGCGGAGGAAAAGAAACCAACAGGGAUUGCCCCAGUAACGGCGAGUGAAGCGGCAACAGCUCAAAUUUGAAAUCUGGCCCCCCGGGGCCCGAGUUGUAAUUUGCAGAGGAUGCUUUUGGCGAGGCGCCUUCCGAGUUCCCUGGAACGGGACGCCACAGAGGGUGAGAGCCCCGUCUGGUUGGAUGCCGAGCCUCUGUAAAGCUCCUUCGACGAGUCGAGUAGUUUGGGAAUGCUGCUCUAAAUGGGAGGUAUAUGUCUUCUAAAGCUAAAUAUUGGCCAGAGACCGAUAGCGCACAAGUAGAGUGAUCGAAAGAUGAAAAGCACUUUGAAAAGAGGGUUAAAUAGUACGUGAAAUUGUUGAAAGGGAAGCGCUCAUGACCAGACU